UCUCCAUGCAUAGGAAACCAGUCAUCAUUAGGGUUUUUGAGCAAAAUUUUCUUGCAAUUUUGUCUCUCCUCACUCUUGUAUAUAAAUAGGUGUGGUAAGAAUGAAAAAUCCCAUUUUCCUUCUUCUUCUCCUAAGCCAAAAUCAAGACAAAUUCUCUCCCUCUUCUCCUCUAUUUGGCCGAACCCCUCUCCCUCUCACUCUCCAAAAAUUUCCUCAAUCAAGCUCCUCAAAUCUUGGAUUAUGGCUUGAAGAUCUAGGGUUUUGAAGAAGAUUGGAGUAUCCAUCAAGAGGAUAUCUAGGAAUCUCUAAAGCAAACAAAGUCUUAAAUCUAAGGUAAACAACCUAUAAUUCAGUGAUGGGCUUUGCGACGAAAGACGUGUACAGUGGAGGAAUUGGGCAAUGGAUACUACCAUGCAGUUAAAUUCAG